GCGCCAGUGGUUUAGUGGUAAAAUCCAUCGUUGCCAUAAAUCACAAAAGUUUCAGAUUUCCCCCUGACUCGGUGACACAAUGUCUCGAUGGGCCCCGCGUUCGAUUCGCGGCUGGCGCA